rnacentral:rRNA from 1 species
GGUUGUCGCUGAACUUUUUCGUCGUGCACACCCAAGUGCUCUCACACAUCCAUCUCACCCCUAUGUGCACCACCGCGUGGGUCCCCUUUUGGCUCGUUUCGAGGGGGGCUCGCGUUUUCACACAAACUUGAUGUAGUGUAGAAUGUCUUUGCGAUCACACGCAAUCAAUACAACUUUCAACAACGGAUCUCUUGGCUCUCGCAUCGAUGAAGAACGCAGCGAAAUGCGAUACGUAAUGUGAAUUGCAGAAUUCAGUGAAUCAUCGAAUCUUUGAACGCACCUUGCGCCCCUUGGCAUUCCGAGGGGCACACCCGUUUGAGUGUCGUGAAAUUCUCAAAACCCUUUUCUUUUGGGAAAGGAUUUUGGACUUGGAGGCUUUUUGCUGGUUUCACCUCGAAGCCAGCUCCUCCCAAAUAAAUUAGUGGGGUCUGCUUUGCCGAUCCUUGACGUGAUAAGAUGUUUCUACGUCUUGGGUUUGGCAUCGUCCCUUGGACUCCUGCUUCUAACCG